CUGGGCAGGUGGCACAUGCCUGUAAUCCCAGCAUUCAAGAGGCCGAAGCAGGAGGAUCACCAUGAGUUUGAGGCCAGUGUGGACUAUAUAGCGAGUUCAAGGCCAGCCUGCACUACAAAGCGAGACCCUGUCUCAAAAAAUAAAAUAAAGGUAGAUAAAUAAAUUACCUGUCCCUCCAUACAUACAUACAUACAUACAUACACCUAAGCUACAACAUAGAAGAGAGGAAAGAUAGUCUCAAUAAACCUUCCUCUGGAAGAGAGAAAAAUGACAGGCACAGAGCAGUCACUGCUCCAUAACAAUGCUGCUCAAAUGAACUCUUGUUCCUCCGGGGAUAAAGAGGUCUUUAGUCUGCACUGUAGAAUUAGCUCCCCACCCUUCAGCAAUUUAGCAAGACCUUAUCUCAGUGCUGGGGAUUUAGCUCUGGACCUUGUGCUUGCCAGGCAGGCAGCAGCACCACUGAGCUAAAUCUCCGGCAUGAGUUUUUUUUUGUUUUUGGGGGCUUUUUUGGUACCGGGGAUCAAACUCAGGUCCUUGCACUUGCACAGCAGGCGGUGAAACCGCUGAGCUAAAUCCCCAGCCCCUGGCAUGAGUAUAUUUUUUAAAAGGUGAGUAAUGCUAACCAACUCAUGGUACUCACAUUCUGUCUUGAAACCUUUUCACCCACCAUACUUUCUUUAAGUGCAAGUUAUUGCAGGCAAUGAUUUUAACAAAUGUUUUGUCAUCAUAUAAUGGGUUGACAACUUACCAGCCUCUCUAUGUGUUGUUCACUGGGCAUUGGCUUUUAAACCAAUCUCACAAGGGCUGGGGAUUUAGCUCAGUGGUUCUGCUGCCUGCCUCGCAAGCACAAGGACCCGAGUUCAAUCCCCGGUACCAAAAAAAAAAUAGUCUCACAUAUUUUUCAGGUUUUGUUAUCACCCACUACCACCCACCCACUAUCACCCACUAUUGGUACCAGCUUCAAUAUACUUUGCUCUAGUGACAAGCCUAAGAUGUCAGUGGCUCACAACAACAAACAUAUCUUUCUCAUGUAUAGACCUGUGCACUGCUUGUUCUACAUGUCUUAUCCUGGGCUCUAAGCUCUAGAUUGGGCUGAUGGCGUAGACUAUUUGUUCUUGUAGUGAAAACUACAGUAGCAAGAGACUCACUCAUACAAAUGAGUUUACAGCUGCUGCUCAGAUGUGCUAUGACUCACAACUCACAUAUGAUUGGCCAAAGCAACUCACAUGGACUGGCCGGACACUGGUGAAGAAGAAGAAGGCAAGCCUGUGUUAUACUGUACUGGCUUGGGUUUUCCAGAGGGACUUCAUGUAUAUGUAACUAUGCUAGGGGCUUUAUUGGAUAAGCUUACUGGACCAGAGCUGGGAGAGUCUACAGUGGCUGUCUGAAUGCUGGAGAGUCAGAGGACCCAGGAGCUGCUCAAAGCUAUGGAACAAGAGGGAUCAAGGAUGCUGAGCCAGACUAAGACUAAAGGCUUCACAGCUCCCCGACAGCUUCCAC
rnacentral:lncRNA from 1 species